rnacentral:rRNA from 1 species
UGCAGUCGAGCGAUUAUGCACUUAGCUUGGUCAUUAAUAGUUAGAACGGGUGAGAAGACUUGGGCAAUCUGCCCUUGACUGUGGGACAGGCCUUGGAAACGGGGACUAGUACUGGAUAAGGAUCUGCCUCUGAUGAGGUGGGGUUCAAAUUUCCGGAGGUGUUUGAUGAGCCCGCGGCCUAUCAGCUUGUUGGUGAGGUAAUGGUUCACCAGGGAGACGACGGGUAGGCGGCCUGAGAGGGCCACCGGCCACACUGGGACUGACACACGGGCCAUACUCCUACGGCAGGAAUCCUUGGGGAAUAUUGCACAAUGGACGAUACCCUGAUGCAGCAACGCCGCGUGAGGGAUGACGGCCUUCGGGUUGAAAACCUCUUUCAGCAAGGAAGAAGUGAGAGUGAAGGAACCUGCACAAAAAGCGCCGGCUAACUACGUGCCGGCCUCCGCGGUAAUACGUAGGGCGCAAGCGUUGUCCGGAAUUAUUGGGCGUAAAGAGGUCGUAGGUGGCUUGUCAUGUUGAUUGUGAAAGCUCGGGGCUUAACCCCGAGUCUGCAAUCGAUACGGCCUAGCUUGAGUGUGGGAGGGGAGAUCGGAAUUCGUGGAGUUGCGGUGAAAUGCGCAGAUAUGAAGUGGAACACCGGUGGCGAAAGCGGAUCUCUGGGCCAUUACUGACGCUGAGGAACGAAAGCUUGGGGAGCGAACAGGAUUAUAUACCCUGG